rnacentral:misc_RNA from 1 species
UGGAAAGCUACUCAGAGAAGUUAAACCACACUAUUCCCUAACAACUAACAAGAGCUUUUGGAAACUGCAAAUCUCUCUAGUUGUGGGUUAAGGCCGUCGAAAGUUCACAGAAAUAUGUAAGAGAAAUCACAUUGCUGCAAGUAGACUCACAAUGUUCUUUUCCUUGGAUCCAUGCCAUCUGAUUAACGGAUUUCUAUAUCAUCCUUCUACA